rnacentral:rRNA from 1 species
UACGGGGGGGGCAAGCGUUGUUCGGAAUUACUGGGCGUAAAGGGCGCGUAGGCGGCCUUCUAAGUCGGACGUGAAAUCCCUCGGCUUAACCGAGGAACUGCGUCCGAUACUGAAAGGCUUGAAUCCGGGAGAGGGAUGUGGAAUUCCAGGUGUAGCGGUGAAAUGCGUAGAUAUCUGGAGGAACACCGGUGGCGAAGGCGGCAUCCUGGACCGGUAUUGACGCUGAGGCGCGAAAGCGUGGGGAGCGAACAGG